rnacentral:rRNA from 1 species
UACGUAGGUGGCAAGCGUUGUCCGGAAUUAUUGGGCGUAAAGCGCGCGCAGGCGGCCUCUUAAGUCUGAUGUGAAAGCCCCCGGCUCAACCGGGGAGGGCCAUUGGAAACGUGGGAGCUUGAGUAUAGGAGAGAAGAGUGGAAUUCCACGUGUAGCGGUGAAAUGCGUAGAGAUGUGGAGGAACACCAGUGGCGAAGGCGACUCUUUGGCCUAUAACUGACGCUGAGGCGCGAAAGCGUGGGGAGCAAACAGG